UACGUAGGCAGCGAGCGUUGUUCGGAGUUACUGGGCGUAAAGCGUGCGUAGGCGGUGUCUUAAGUUUGUUGUGAAAUCUCCCGGCUUAACCGGGAGGGUGCGGCGAAUACUGAGAUGCUGGAGUGCCGGAGAGGUAAGCGGAAUUCCUGGUGUAGCGGUGAAAUGCGUAGAUAUCAGGAGGAACACCUGCGGUGUAGACGGCUUACUGGACGGUAACUGACGCUGAGGCACGAAAGCGUGGUAGCAAACAGG
rnacentral:rRNA from 1 species